AAGUCGUAACAAGGUUUCCGUAGGUGAACCUGCGGAAGGAUCAUUAAAAAAUCUUUUAAUGAGCCGCAAGGCUCUAAUAUUUUGUGAAAUGUGUAUAUUAUUACAGGCUUGAGGAGGUGGAGUGUAGUAGUAGAAAUUAAUCUUUUGAAAUGGGAUAAAUUUCUUCGAAAGACUUUACCCCUUGUGAAUGUGAUGAUAUAAAAUAUUAAUACAUAUGAUUUUGAUGUUGAGGAAGUAUUAUAUCAAUUAUAAUAUAUGUACAACUUUCAACAGUGGAUCUCUCGGCUCUU
rnacentral:misc_RNA from 1 species